rnacentral:rRNA from 1 species
AGUGAACGCUGGCGGUAGGCCUAACACAUGCAAGUCGAACGGCAGCACAGUAAGAGCUUGCUCUUACGGGUGGCGAGUGGCGGACGGGUGAGGAAUGCAUCGGAAUCUACUUUUUCGUGGGGGAUAACGUAGGGAAACUUACGCUAAUACCGCAUACGACCUACGGGUGAAAGCAGGGGAUCUUCGGACCUUGCGCGAUUGAAUGAGCCGAUGUCGGAUUAGCUAGUUGGCGGGGUAAAGGCCCACCAAGGCGACGAUCCGUAGCUGGUCUGAGAGGAUGAUCAGCCACACUGGAACUGAGACACGGUCCAGACUCCUACGGGAGGCAGCAGCGGGGAAUAUUGGACAAUGGGCGCAAGCCUGAUCCAGCCAUACCGCGUGGGUGAAGAAGGCCUUCGGGUUGUAAAGCCCUUUUGUUGGGAAAGAAAAGCAGCAGGUUAAUACCCCGCUGUUCUGACGGUACCCAAAGAAUAAGCACCGGCUAACUUCGUG